GUGAAGAAGCAGUAGCCAAAAAUCGUCAUGUCUAAAUGUUAGCUUGCUGGUGGAGUUAAGCAAACUUAUAUCAUUAUCUGUAUAUAUCCUGCUAUAAAUUUUGCGUGUACCUACACACUUGUUUCUAAAAACUGUCAGAGUGUCGAGUCUGUCACAUCAGUCAUCACAGUGACAUGUAUAGUUGCUACUACUCUCUAGCCUAGACUAGGUCGAUAUGCACAAUGUUGGGAAGAUCAGUUAGAAAGCGAAAAGUGCGACCUUGCUCUGCCACAGAACACCACCAGGGUUGUAACAGUUGGACCAGAGACAUAGACAACAAUGACACACCAGUUUUUACAAAUGGGUCACCAGACUGAACUGGAUUCACGACUCAUCACGCCACUAACUCUACUCCUUUAGGUCACAUACAUUUGUACAUUGGAUCAUCAUCAGACGUCAUUUAUGCAAACCCCCAGAGCUCUGCAUUAGUAUGUUCCAGUUCACAGUUGAUAAUUUACCAGCAGACCGACAUCCUCCAGAUGGGGUUGACUUAGGUCUAGGCACGGAAAUGAAUCUUUGUAGUGGCAUGAUUGUCAAGCAUGUUGAAAGUUAACUCAGAACAUGAAACUAUGAGGAUCCACCAUAUUUCUUAAUAAAACAUGUAGCAGGUAAUGACACAGGUAGUUCUAGAGUGGGAUUUUUGCACAAUGAGACGAAGAACAUGAUCAGAUGGAUUAUGCGGUUCAUCAAUUCUUAAGUAAGUAUGGUCUCAAAUUUGACCAGGUUAUUGCAAAGCAUGGACUUGUGUUGCUGUAGAAUAUACAACUAUAU